AGAGUUUGAUCCUGGCUCAGAACGUACGCUGGCGGCACGCCUUAUACAUGCAAGUCGAACGAAGUAGCAAUACUUAGUGGCAGACGGGUGAGUAACAUGUGGGUAUCUUCCCUUUGGUGAGGAAUAACACGAGGAAACUUGUGCUAAUACCUCAUAAGUCUUUACGGAGAAAGCUUUACGCGCCAAUGGAUGAGCCCGCACUUGAUUAGUUUGUUGGUGGGGUAAUGGCCUACCAAGACUGUGAUCAAUAGCUGAUUUGAGAGGAUGAUCAGCCACAUUGGGACUGAGACACGGCCCAAACUCCUACGGGAGGCAGCAGUAGGGAAUCUUGCACAAUGGAGGAAACUCUGAUGCAGCGAUGCCGCGUGAGUGAAGAAGGCCUUUGGGUUGUAAAGCUCUUUCGUCGGGGAAGAGAAUGACUGUACCCGAAUAAGAAGGUCCGGCUAACUUCGUGCCAGCAGCCGCGGUAAUACGAAGGGACCUAGCGUAGUUCGGAAUUACUGGGCUUAAAGAGUUCGUAGGUGGUUAAAAAAGUUGGUGGUGAAAUCCCAGAGCUUAACUCUGGAACUGCCAUCAAAACUUUUUAGCUAGAGUAUGAUAGAGGAAAGUAGAAUUUCUAGUGUAGAGGUGAAAUUCGUAGAUAUUAGAAAGAAUACCAAUUGCGAAGGCAGCUUUCUGGAUCAUUACUGACACUGAGGAACGAAAGCAUGGGUAGCGAAGAGGAUUAGAUACCCUCGUAGUCCAUGCCGUAAACGAUGUGUGUUAGAUGUUGGAAAUUUAUUUUCAGUAUCGCA
rnacentral:rRNA from 1 species